rnacentral:lncRNA from 13 species
AUAAUAUAAUUUUAAGAUCUUUCUAAUAACGUAAUACUGCAUUACAAAAAAGUAACGAAUCGUUAUUUUCGAAGUAACGGUAAUGGUAACGCGUUACUCUAUGAAAUCAGCAAUGAGUAACGAUAACGAGUUGCUUCGUUACAAAAAGUAACGGUAACAGUAGCGCGUUACUUAGGUAACGCUCCCAACUCCGCGUGUAGUCACGCCAUUGAUUAGGUUAAUGGACAUUGAUAAAUUUCCCGUUAACUUAUCAAUUAAGCUUUUGUAUCACGGACAGGCUAAUUUCGUCGCAAUCUUUUGAACUUUACGAGAAAUCUUUGGACAGUGUUAAAUAUGAAUUAUUUAUGGCUCCUUUCGCUAAAGGCUUACGGAUUCGAAUUCUUGGUCGUCAAAGAGCGAACUGUGUCAGGUAGAAAGACUCGCGACGGCUCCUUCAAUCGACUCACAGAGUCGGAAGCCAAGUAAAAGUCAAAGGAAGAGAAGGUUAAAAUUAAAACUAAUAGAAAUGUACGUAUAUAAGAAUUCUCGUAACUCGAUGCUGUGCUCUCAAUUAACAUAAUCUAGCAAGAUGAAACACUUCGGAUCACUGUGCAUACUUAUUUUGAUUCAUUUCAGUACACAAAUUCCAAAACAUGUGUAAAGAAACCAAUAUGAUGAUAUUUUCUAGUUGACGUAAACUAGUACAUUCUACAUUAUAUGUAGUUUAAUAUAACGAUGUUUUUUAUAAUUACACAAUGAAUUGUUCCGAAUAUAUAUUGCUCCUGGGGCACCUAUUUGUGAAUGUUGUAAAAUAACAUGUUCGUCAACACAAAUAAUAGAGCAAAUGUGUCCCCUUCGCCUGGCUACAAUCUAUGCUGAAGAAACACAGUCAAGAUACAUUCAAGAUAAUACAAAAGUGUACCCAAACUGUUGCCCCAAUAUUACUUGUAUGAUUAUAAAUUAAAGAAUAAAAAUCCAUAUACAAGACAUUAUUGCAAAUAAAAAAAA